GGCUGGAAUGUCUCUGUUGACUCUCCGUCCAUGUCAAUGCAGUGGCCAUGCAACAGGUCUGUCUGUCUUCCUGCGUUUAUACUGAUUAAAAACGCCGUUCUCCUGUGAAGGAACUGCCACUCAGCAUUACAAAGACAGGAGGCUGCUGGUUCACCAUAAAAGCUUGCACACAUUUUCAUUUUUGCUGCCAGUCAAGAAGAGUUCAAGGAAUUUUUCAUUUCAGGGAUUUGCUUUGAUCACACCGGUUUGGACAUUUUCCUCUGGUGUGUCCCUGAGUUGGUCUUGAAAGGCUGUGACUGUAAGAGGGAAGACGAGUGGAAUUAUUGCAGACAGAAAGAGUUCCUGGAAGCUAAGACUGAAAAGGACAUCUUUGCCCAUCUGGGUCUUGAGUACAUCGAGCCUUGGCAGAGAAAUGCGUAGGCCUCCAUUCCUCCCUGGCUGGAUGAUGCCCUGCAUGUACAUUAGCGUUUAUCCCAUCUGCUUCCCUUUCUGCAGCUCUCCUGUGAUUCGAUUUCAAAGAGCUUUUGAUUUCUGUAGAGCUCUGUGUUGUUGUUAUUGUUUUUGUUGCUGCAUGGAUCGCGCGCUGGUGCAUGAUUCAUGAUUCUGCCUAUUCAUUGUUGUCUGUUAGCAAGUAAACGCUCUCUCCUAUAGCA